CUCUCUCUUUCCAGAAAAACAAAACUAUUCCUGUAACUAGAAGAGGAGUCGUAGGAAACCCAUAAAAAAUCACUCAAAACCCUAAUUUCUCACCAAAAACCUUCUCCCAACUCAGAACUAUCAUCCACCUUCAAUUUUUAGACAUUAGAGAUGAUUUUUUAAGUCCUAAAAAUCUCUCUGAAGUUGGGUUCAAAAUUAUUCCGAGAAUAGGAGUUCUUGCAUCCGUUUUGAAUCUUAUUUCAAUCAAACCCUUCAAGUCAAGAACGAGUUUUCAUCAUCAACGGAGUCUAAAACCAUUUGUUCUUCGAGGGCAAGUCUAUAGUUAAAGAGAAGUGGGCAAGAAAACAGAUCGAGGUGGUGGUACAGUUCAUUUUAUGAUGUUGAGACUGUUAUUUUUAGGAACUUACUUCUAAACUUCCACAGAUAUUAAUGGUCAAACUUUAUUAAAUCUUUUGGGAAACGGUCAUAUGGCCCAAUAUGAACCUCGUAUGAAUUUUAAAAAAAAAAAUCUCACAGAAACUUCCGCAUUAUAAAUAUAGUUUU